rnacentral:rRNA from 1 species
GAUGAACGCUAGCGGGAGGCUUAACACAUGCAAGUCGAGGGGCAGCAUACCCGGUGACGGGUGAUGGCGACCGGCGGAAGGGUGAGUAACGCGUGAGCAACAUACCCGUAUCAGUGGGAUAAUACAGGGAAACUUGUUCUAAUAUCACAUAAUAUUAUUCAGAGGCAUCUUUGGAUAAUUAAAGUUCAGGCGGAUACGGAAUGGCUCGCGUGACAUUAGCUAGAUGGUAGGGUAAAGGCCUACCAUGGCUAUGAUGUCUAGGGGUUCUGAGAGGGAGGUCCCCCACACUGGAACUGAGACACGGUCCAGACUCCUACGGGAGGCAGCAGUGAGGAAUAUUGGUAAUGCGCGAAAGCGUGAACCAGCAACGCCGCGUGUGCGAUGAAGGCCUUCGGGUUGUAAAGCACUUUUCGGGAGAAGAGGAAGGACUGUACUCCAGAAUAAGCCUCGGCUAACUACGUGCCAGCAGCCGCGGUAAUAGU